rnacentral:siRNA from 1 species
UAUACGUGUUUGGCGCAAUUAAC